rnacentral:rRNA from 1 species
GAUGAACGCUGGCGGCGUGCCUAAUACAUGCAAGUCGAGCGAACAGACGAGGAGCUUGCUCCUCUGACGUUAGCGGCGGACGGGUGAGUAACACGUGGAUAACCUACCUAUAAGACUGGGAUAACUUCGGGAAACCGGAGCUAAUACCGGAUAAUAUAUUGAACCGCAUGGUUCAAUAGUGAAAGACGGUUUUGCUGUCACUUAUAGAUGGAUCCGCGCCGCAUUAGCUAGUUGGUAAGGUAACGGCUUACCAAGGCGACGAUGCGUAGCCGACCUGAGAGGGUGAUCGGCCACACUGGAACUGACACACGGUCCAGACUCCUACGGGAGGCAGCAGUAGGGAAUCUUCCGCAAUGGGCGAAAGCCUGACGGAGCAACGCCGCGUGAGUGAUGAAGGUCUUCGGAUCGUAAAACUCUGUUAUUAGGGAAGAACAAAUGUGUAAGUAACUAUGCACGUCUUGACGGUACCUAAUCAGAAAGCCACGGCUAACUACGUG